rnacentral:rRNA from 1 species
GACGAACGCUGGCGGCGUGCCUAAUACAUGCAAGUCGAGCGGACAGAAGGGAGCUUGCUCCCGGAAGUUAGCGGCGGACGGGUGAGUAACACGUGGGCCACCUACCCUGUAGAUCGGGAUAACAUCGAGAAAUCGGUGCCAAUACCGGAUAAUCAUUUGAAGAGCAUGCUCUGAAUGUAAAAGAUGGAUCCGGAUAUCACUACGGGAUGGGCCCGCGACUGAUUAGCGGGUUGGUAAGGUAAUGGCUUGCCAAGGCAACGAUGCGUAGCCGACCUGAGAGGGUGAUCGGCCACACUGGGACUGAGACACGGCCCAGACUCCUGCGGGAGGCAGCAGUAGGGAAUCUUCCGCAAUGGACGAAAGUCUGACGGAGCAACGCCGCGUGAGUGAUGAAGGUUUUCGGAUCGUAAAGCUCUGUUGUUAGGGAAGAACAAGUGCCGUUUGAAUAAGGCGGCACCUUGACGGUACCUAACCAGAAAGCCACGGCUAACUACGUGCCAGCCGCCGCAGUAAGAC